GACGAACGCUGGCGGCGUGCUUAACACAUGCCAGUCGAACAGAAAGGCCCUGCUUGCAGGGUACUCGAGUGGCGAACGGGUGAGUAACACGUGGGUGAUCUGCCCUGCACUUCGGGAUAAGCCUGGGAAACUGGGUCUAAUACCGGAUAGGGGCCAUUUUUAGUGUGAUGGUUGGAAAGUUUUUUCGGUGUAGGAUGAGCUCGCGGCCUAUCAGCUUGUUGGUGGGGUAAUGGCCUACCAAGGCGGCGACGGGUAGCCGGCCUGAGAGGGUGGACGGCCACAUUGGGACUGAGAUACGGCCCAGACUCCUACGGGAGGCAGCAGUGGGGAAUAUUGCACAAUGGGCGCAAGCCUGAUGCAGCGACGCCGCGUGGGGGAUGACGGCCUUCGGGUUGUAAACUCCUUUCGCUAGGGACGAAGCUUUUGUGACGGUACCUAGAUAAGAAGCACCGGCUAACUACGUG
rnacentral:rRNA from 1 species